GAAAUAUCGAUGUAGUUUGUAGUGAACAUCUGAAAUGUUGACAGGUUGAAAAUAUGGAAGAAAAUGCGAAUGAAAAUCGUCUGUUUUUGACUGAUUUCCCGAAGCUGUUCUUCAAAAUGGAUCGUAGGAAGGACGCUGUAUCGUCGCGCUCGACGCUACUGACAUGGCUCUGGAAUAGUUGCUGUUUCCUCUACCGCAUACUCUUCCUAUCGUACUAGGUGAUGAAUAUGUUGUACUGUGUACAGAUGUAUUGAGGUUAAACAGUUUUAUGACCUGGAUGAGUUUCAAAGCCGCGACCUGAAAUCGAUUUACCGUAAUAAUAAGGGAUUAAUUAAUGGUGAGCAAAAUAAUUUACGGUCUACAUUAGGAAGUGUUCUAUUGGGUAUUCUUGAAGCAAUAAUUAUUUGGAA